AUACCAGAAGAAAGCAGCUAAGCUAAUUCAGGAGUACACUGCUUGUGCAAAUGAAGUUGCUCAAGAGACAUUCUCUCUCAUGAGGACUGUACGCGUAUAUGGAACUGAGGAACAAGAACUGCAAAGGUAUGCACGGUGGAUGGGAAAAUUAGCUGAUAUAACCUUGCGUCAAAGUGCCGCUUAUGGAUACUGGAACUUUUGUUUCAACACACUUUAUCACUCAACUCAGGUUAUUGCUGUGCUGGUAGGAGGAAUAUCUAUCCUGGCUGGUCAUAUUACUGCAGAACAACUUACCAAAU
rnacentral:misc_RNA from 1 species